rnacentral:rRNA from 1 species
GAUGAACGCUGGCGGCGUGCUUAACACAUGCAAGUCGAACGAAGCACUUUAUUUGAUUUCCUUCGGGACUGAUUAUUUUGUGACUGAGUGGCGGACGGGUGAGCAACGCGUGGGUAACCUGCCUUGUACAGGGGGAUAACAGUUGGAAACGGCUGCUAAUACCGCAUAAGCGCACAGCAUCGCAUGAUGCAGUGUGAAAAACUCCGGUGGUAUAAGAUGGACCCGCGUUGGAUUAGCUAGUUGGUGAUGUAACGGCCCACCAAGGCGACGAUCCAUAGCCGACCUGAGAGGGUGACCGGCCACAUUGGGACUGAGACACGGCCCAAACUCCUACGGGAGGCAGCAGUGGGGACUAUUGCACAAUGGGCGAAAGCCUGAUGCAGCGACGCCGCGUGAGCGAAGAAGUAUUUUCGGUAUGUAAAGCUCUAUCAACAGGGAAGAUAAUGACGGUACCUGACUAAAUAAGCACCGGCUAAAUACGUGCCACCCGCCCCGGUAAAUACGUAUGGUGCAAGCGUUAUCCGGAUUUUACUGGGUAUAAAGGGAGCGCAGGCGGUGCGGCAGGUCUGAUGUGAAAGCCCGGGGCUCAACCCCGGUACUGCAUUGGAAACUGUCGUACUAGAGUGUCGGAGGGGUAAGCGGAAUUCCUAGUGUAGCGGUGAAAUGCGUAGAUAUUGGGAGGAACACCAGUGGCGAAGGCGGCUUACUGGACGAUAACUGACGCUGAGGCUCGAAAGCGUGGGGAGCAAACAAAGAUUCCCUUCCCUGGUCGUCCCCGCCGUGCUCGACCAAAAAAAGGUGUGGGAAGCAUUGCUUCUCGGUGCCGUCGCAAACGCAGUAAGUAUUCCACCUGGGGAGUACGUUCGCAAGAAUGAAACUCAAAGGAAUUGACGGGGACUCGCACAAGCGGUGGAGCAUGUGGUUUAAUUAGAAGCAACGCGAAGAACCUUACCAAGUCUUGACAUCCUUCUGACCGGUACUUAGCCGUACCUUCUCUUCGGAGCAGGAGUGACAGGUGGUGCAUGGUUGUCGUCAGCUCGUGUCGUGAGAUGUUGGGUUAAGUCCCGCAACGAGCGCAACCCUUAUCUUUAGUAGCCAGCGGUCAGGCCGGGCACUCUAGAGAGACUGCCAGGGAUAACCUGGAGGAAGGCGGGGAUGACGUCAUAUCAUCAUGCCCCCUAUGACUUGGGCUACACACGUGCUACAAUGGCGUAAACAAAGGGAAGCAAAGCUGUGAAGCCGAGCAAAUCUCAAAAAUAACGUCUCAGUUCGGACUGUAGUCUGCAACCCGACUACACGAAGCUGGAAUCGCUAGUAAUCGCAGAUCAGAAUGCUGCGGUGAAUACGUUCCCGGGUCUUGCACA